CCUACGGGAGGCAGCAGUCGAGGAUUUUUCUCAAUGGGGGAAACCCUGAAGGAGCGACGCCGCGUGAGGGAUGAAGGUCUUCGGAUUGUAAACCUCUGUCAUCUGGGAUCAAAGUGCUCCACCUAACACGUGGAGUAUUGCUAGUACCAGAAGAGGAAGCAGUGGCUAACUCUGUGCCAGCAGCCGCGGUAAU
rnacentral:rRNA from 1 species